rnacentral:rRNA from 1 species
UACGUAGGGGGCAAGCGUUGUCCGGAAUCAUUGGGCGUAAAGAGCGUGUAGGCGGCCCGGUAAGUCCGCUGUGAAAGUCCAGGGCUCAACCCUGGGAUGCCGGUGGAUACUGUCGGGCUCGAGUCCGGAAGAGGAGUGUGGAAUUCCUGGUGUAGCGGUGAAAUGCGCAGAUAUCAGGAGGAACACCAAUGGCGAAGGCAGCACUCUGGGACGUGACUGACGCUGAGACGCGAAGGCCAGGGGAGCAAACGGG